rnacentral:rRNA from 1 species
CGGGAUUGCCUCAGUAACGGCGAGUGAAGCGGCAAGAGCUCAAAUUUGAAAGCUGGCUCCUUCGGAGUCCGCAUUGUAAUUUGCAGAGGAUGCUUUGGGUGCGGCCCCCGUCUAAGUGCCCUGGAACGGGCCGUCAGAGAGGGUGAGAAUCCCGUCUUGGGCGGGGUGUCCGUGCCCGUGUAAAGCUCCUUCGACGAGUCGAGUUGUUUGGGAAUGCAGCUCUAAAUGGGUGGUAAAUUUCAUCUAAAGCUAAAUACUGGCCGGAGACCGAUAGCGCACAAGUAGAGUGAUCGAAAGAUGAAAAGCACUUUGAAAAGAGAGUUAAACAGCACGUGAAAUUGUUGAAAGGGAAGCGCUUGCGACCAGACUCGCCCGCGGGGUUCAGCCGGCAUUCGUGCCGGUGUACUUCCCCGUGGGCGGGCCAGCGUCGGUUUGGGCGGCCGGUCAAAGGCCCCUGGAAUGUAGUGCCCUCCGGGGCACCUUAUAGCCAGGGGUGCAAUGCGGCCAGCCUGGACCGAGGAACGCGCUUCGGCACGGACGCUGGCAUAAUGGUCGUAAACGACCCGUCUUGAAACACGGACCAAGGAGUCUAACAUCUACGCGAGUGUUCGGGUGUCAAACCCGUGCGCGCAGUGAAAGCGAACGGAGGUGGGAGCCCCCUUGCGGGGCGCACCAUCGACCGAUCCUGAUGUCUUCGGAUGGAUUUGAGUAAGAGCGUAGCUGUGGGGACCCGAAAGAUGGUGAACUAUGCCUGAAUAGGGCGAAGCCAGAGGAAACUCUGGUGGAGGCUCGCAGCGGUUCUGACGUGCAAAUCGAUCGUCAAAUUUGGGUAUAGGGGCGAAAGACUAAUCGAACCAUCUAGUAGCUGGUUCCUGCCGAAGUUUCCCUCAGGAUAGCAGUAACGCAAAAUCAGUUUUAUGAGGUAAAGCGAAUGAUUAGAGGCAUUGGGGUUGAAACAACCUUAACCUAUUCUCAAACUUUAAAUAUGUAAGAAGCCCUUGUUGCUUAGUUGAACGUGGGCAUUAGAAUGGAGCGUUACUAGUGGGCCAUUUUUGGUAAGCAGAACUGGCGAUGCGGGAUGAACCGAACGCGAGGUUAAGGUGCCGGAAUGCACGCUCAUCAGACACCACAAAAGGUGUUAGUUCAUCUAGACAGCCCGACGGUGGCCAUGGAAGUCGGAAUCCGCUAAGGAGUGUGUAACAACUCACGGGCCGAAUGAACUAGCCCUGAAAAUGGAUGGCGCUCAAGCGUGCUACCCAUACCUCGCCGUCGGGGUAGAAACGAUGCCCCGACGAGUAGGCAGGCGUGGGGGUCCGUGACGAAGC